AAUGAACGCUGGCGGCGUGCCUAAUACAUGCAAGUCGAGCGACGAGGGCAGGCGUGAGUGACACGUGGGUAACAUGCUAGAAGGCGGGGAUAAAUUAGUGAAACCGGAGCUAAACCGGAUAAUUAUCGCUGGAUGUGCGUGGCAUUAGCUAGUUGGUAAGGUAACGGCUUACCAAGGCAACGAUGCAUAGCUGACCUGAGAGGGUGAUCGGCCACACUGGAACUGAGACACGGUCCAGACUCCUACGGGAGGCAGCAGUAGGGAAUCUUCCGCAAUGGGCGCAAGCCUGACGGAGCCACGCCGCGUGAGUGAUGAAGGCCUUCGGGUUGUAAAACUCUGUCAGCAGGGAAGCGUUACCUACUCAGAAAGCCACGGCUAACUCCGUGCCAGCAGCCGCGGUAAUUC
rnacentral:rRNA from 1 species